GUAGGUAGGACAUUUGUCUUAUUUUCACAGUGGGAAGCCCUCGGACAGUUCUGAUGAAACUCCAAGCCUGAAUGAAAUAAUCAGCCUUCAAAGCUAACCUCAAAUCAUGUCCUCAAUGUCACACAAAAGUUUUAAGGGAUGGAAUUUCAAGGCAAGCUAGGAGAAUUUUUAACAACACAUAGAUGAGUGGACCAAGGAAAGAUCAGACCUCCAGAUAUUCAAGGCCAGUUGAAGAAAUAGUGCAACUCACACAGCGUUUCCACAAGAACAAGGACCAAGUGCAACCUGCAGGCAAAAGCUGUGGUUUGCACAAAGACAGAGUGGAGAACAAUUGGACAGGCAUCAACACUGAAUGAAGAAAAUUUUGGAGCCCACCUACCCUACUGUAGAGCCUUUGUGCUACAGCUCAGACUCAGACAUGUGAAAACAUAAAUGCCAUAAUGCAAAAGCACCGAAGUCUUCUACUGGAUCUGGCCCAAGUUCCAAUCAGCGUGAUUCUGUUGGACGAAAAUCAUGAACAGUGGGCCAUUAAUCUUACAGAAAAAAAGGGUCACCAGCAAAUCUGACCUCCACAGUGCCAGCAAAUGAAAUGUGGAUGCAGUAAUUCUGGAUGCCUCAGGACUGCUGAUUGCAGAACCUUCAUGCCUCAUAGUAAUCCUGAGAUACACCAUUUAUUCUGUCAUAUCUGAUACGACCUCUGGGACCUGGUUUUGACUUCCCUCCCUCCCGCCAUCUGACUUCCAUCUGACCAGAUCUGUUAGCAAAGAUUCUCAUAACAAGCAGUGAUUAAAUUCUACAUCUGUGAAAGUUUUCUGAUUUCCCAGACUCCUACUGAUUUAGACAGCUGUUGGCUUUUGUCAGCUAUAUUGCAUAGAUCUGUGAUCUGCUUAAUUGUGAUCAAAUGUAUAUCAGGAUAUGAAAUACUUCUCAAGAUGUACAGAUAAACUCCGGAUUGGAAGGUACUUGAAUUCAAACAGCAUUGAUAAAAUGAGACUGAAUGAUUUGCUACUGACUUUUUUAUUGAUCAUUUCUGCUCUAGUGAUUUAGUUAUAUAGAGCAUUAGAAGCUAAUUAUUUUCUUGUAGCACUUAAAAUGCUAAUGAAAUAUGGACCAGUUGCAAGCAAAUUUCUUUCAUGCACUGAAAUGAUAGAUCGACAGUCACCAACAAAUCUAUCUAAACCUCAGCCCUGCAGAACAGCAGGUGAAGUUUAGUAAAAGCCUUCUUUUUUCUCCCUGUAAGCUGCUUUAUGCUAAGAAAUAUGCUUGAAGUGUGACUGAUAUGCUGAAGACUGUCAUGCUGAGUACUGAUUACUUAGAAGUUGACCCUGAUUUUGAUUCUUGCUAUGAUAUUCCUCUUAUUUAAUGUUUCAUGUCCUUGUAAAGUAGAUGUUUCUGGGAGGCUUCCUAGAGAAAUACUCUGGAAAAAAAUAAUCAUUCUCAAAUACAGCAGCACUGUUAUUGUAAUUUAACUAGAAGUUGCAUAGGUAAAACAGUGUAUGCUCUUCUAGUUUACCUAUGUCUGUUUUCUACUGAAUGUUUCACUGCUCGGACUUCUCACAUCUUUUAAGGAACCAUUGAGGAGAUUGCUUGUUGAAAAUUAAAUUUGCAGUAACUAGGUCAGUCAAAAAGCCCAACUGAGUAGUGCAUGGUCUUUUUCUUUCCAAUAGUGCUUGCAGUAAAUGCUAACCAGAACUGAGAAAGGAAUUGUAUAUCACAGCAAGUAUACAACAGAACACUGAAGUUUGGUUCUUGCGGUUAUCAUAUCUAUUCAGAAGGUUUGAGGAAUAAUAAUGAAAUAGUCUCAGCGUUAACAAGGAAGUCAUUUUUUUUCUCCCCAAGGUAUUUCUUAAUUUCAGUUUCAAAAUACAAGAUUUUUUAGAACAACUAUCUGACAGUCUUUCUGAGCCUGAGAAUGUGCCAAGCAUCACCUUUCACAAAACAGAAGUUCCCUGAGAUUUCUCAAUCUGUAUUAAGAAUUCUGGCAAUCAAUCCCUGCUAAGAGAAAUUUGUUCUAGACGGGAACCAAUAGAAUGGAUGUCUGCAUUUUUUCACUGUCUUCUAGAUAGAAGAAAUAGAAUUUGUCCACAGACUUACUUAACACGUCUGGUCUGUUGUGGCAGGAGGAAUGUUAACAGUGCAAGCGAGCCUCAAAAAAAGAGUCAAUUAAUUGAGAAAGAAAACAUUAACUGCACAAUAACUGAAAUAUUGCUUUGAGCCUUUGGGGCUGAGAAGUGACUGCUCUUAAUCAUUUAGCCUAGAAACAUCAAAAGAGAAGGCAUAAUAUGUAUUUGAAGAAAAUAAAAAUAUCAGUGGGCUGUUUAGGAUCAUCUGGGGCAUCUUAAGAGCAUCUGUGGCACUCUGUGCAGACUUCCUUUGUAUGCAAAGGAUAUUGUACAAUAUUACAUAAUUUCAGAAAGGUUUAAAUUAUCUCUUGCUAAGGGGAAACAAAAAAAAAAUCUAAGAUUUCUGCUGUUGGUGAAAAGAAGGGAUGGCAGGGAGGUCUCAGACAGGAGUGGUAUCACUCAAAUAUUUCUAGCAGCUUCAAGCAAAAGAGUCAACACAUCAAAAUCAUAUUAUUCUAUUCCAAGUCCAUUUGACUGCUGCAGCAUUCUGAAAAUUUUGUUAUUCAUGGCAAUGGGCUGUUCGUUCAGCAUUUUUUUUUCUCAUAGAGUUUCUUUAAUUAAUUAACAGGGACUCAUACUUUGAAUUUGUCUGCAGAUAACACAGGUGUUCAUUAGGUGUAUGCUCCUGUACAUACCACACCUGCACAAAGCAGUGAGAAUGAGUCACUGGUGGGAACUCUACAGCCCUGGCCAUUUCACAGGGCAAGAGAGUGAGGCAGACUUACUGUUUUGUCUUCUUUAUGUGUGCUGAGGAAAUUACCUCUUUGAAUUUGUGUUUCUUUGUCAAAUAAAGGUGGUUUGUUG
ensembl:lncRNA